CACCCCUUGUAAGUGACAAGCCGGGAGAUUGGAGCAGCCCGAACGAGCUACCGAGCGCUUUCGAAGCCUUUAGGAACGCCUGCCGGGUGGAGCCGCUUUUGGUGCUGCUGCUGCAAGACAGGCUGGGAUUCAACUGGUGUAGCGUCUCGACAAGACAGGCUGGGAUUCAACUGGUGUAGCCUCUCGACCAUCCCAGCCCCCACACAGACGCGGUCCCUGGCAGACUUUGCUGUAGCCUAUCACUGGGUUUAGAAGGGUCCAGACUGAUACGAUAAAAUAGAAGCGGCCAC